rnacentral:lncRNA from 1 species
CAGUCAUCGACCUCACAUUCGCCAGCAGAGCGUUGGCCAGAACCGCUUGUUGGAAAAUCAGCAACGCCUACACCGCUAGCGACCACGAGGCCAUCGAGUGCGUGUUUGGCGAACCGGACCCAGGAAGAGCAGCCCCUACUCAGACCCAGAAUAGGAAGGCGUAUCGGCAGGCCACGCUGAGGACACAGGCCUUCGCAAGUGCCCUCCGUACCCACACGGCACCAGAGACCGGUGGAGCCAACGAGUGGGCGACCCAGCUGGGGGAGGCAGUGGAAGCGGCUUGCGACCAGAGUAUGCUACAGCGAAGUGCGUUUGGGAAACACCAUGCCCCAGUCUUCUGGUGGAACGAGGACAUCGCCGAGCUCCACAAAAUCUGCCACAGAGCGAGAAGACAGCUCCAACGAGCCAGGGGAACUCCGCGUCUAGUGACUUGCUGCGAGGCAUACAAAGUCGCGCGGAAGGAGUUGAAGACCGCCAUCAGAGACAGCAAAAGAGAAUGCUUCCUCAAGCUGUGCGACGCCGCAGAGGAGGACCCCUGGGGAGGCGCCUACAAGAUGGUGGUAAAGAACAUCAACGCCGGAAGCAGAGCCCCGACAGACCCAGUAGUGCUGGAGGGGAUAGUUAGGACCUUGUUCCCGCAAGGGCGGCCCAUAACAACAUCCCCGAGCCCAGAGCACAGCCUGGACGACAUCCG